rnacentral:lncRNA from 1 species
AAAGAAAGUCUACAUAAAAAAAUUACCCUUUUUAAAGGAACAUUUUCUCUAAUCACUCCAAUGGAACUCAAGCACGUACUUCAAGUUAAUUAUGGUAUCCAAGAAUCAGUCUCAUCUAACAUAAACAAGAACAUUCAACUUGAUAGAACUUCAUUACCUCAUUUUUACAAUUCCCAAAGUUACUAAAUGAAGGACCAUUCCUAAAACAUACUUACAUCCAACUUUCUCCAUGAAUAACUUAUCGUCUUUUAUGUACUGAUGAAUAUAGAGAUGGGAGCGAUCAGAGUUUGUUUAUGUACCAAAUUAGAGUGAGUUGAGA